AUAAGGGAAAGCAGAACUAAGAAACAUCUAUAUUCAUUACCCCUUCUAUAACCAUCAUGCCACAUAUUCCAAAAUGGCUCCACAGAAAAUAUACUGAAGGAGACAGCCAAACGUUCAUUGGGGAUCUUCUCAACUGAGGGAUCGAACCUGCAUCUCCUGCUUUGGCAGGCAGAUUCUUUAUCGUUGAGCCACAGGAAAUUCUAUGACAGAGAAGAGCUAACUUUGAGAAACUAGUAUCCUAUGUUCCAGAUCGUCACAAUCUUACUAACCAGAAGAGAAAACUUUCAGCUUUGUGCCAUUGAGGGCUACCCUGGAGGCUCAGAUGGUGAAGAGUCUGCUUGCAAUGCAGGAGACCCAGGUUCAAUCGUUGGGUCAGGAAGAUCCCCUGGAGAAGGGAAUGGCUACCCAGUCCUGUAUUCUUGCCUGAAGAAUUCCAUGGACAGAGGAGCCUGGCAGGCAACAGUCCAUGGGAUCUCAAAGAGUUGGGCCUGACUGAUCUACUAACACACACGCAUCAUUAAAUUUGUUAGCCAUAGGUUUCUUGUUGAUGGCCUUAUUUUAUGU